GAUAAUCAUGAACUAUAAUUCCGAUUUUCCAAAUGUUAUGAUGGCACUCUAUGGAUGUUUAUCCACGAUUUAGAGAAGAUCUUUUCUACAUCAAAAAGAAAGUUGUUAGAAAAAUGUUGAAGAAGAUGACUUAAACCAUUCUAAUGAACGGGAUAUAUUGAUACAGAAGUCAACAGGUGUACUAACAGUAUUUAAAAAUAAAGUAGUUAUCUACUAAGCAUUACUCAAGGACUAAAGACAAAAUUAAAAACUAUAACCAUUUAAAAGAUGAAAUAAAAAUGUUUUAACAAUAAUUUGACAAUUCUUAAGUAUCAAAAAAUGUUGACACACUUCACCUAGUUCUCUUCAGAGUUCACAUACAAAACAAAUGCAAUUCUACAGACUACAAAUCAACUGAAAGUCAUAAUUGUUUGAUAACAUCAAAACAUGUAUUGGGUUGACAGCCCUCAGAAGUAGUUGCAGCUUAAUCAACAUGUGUAAUACAGAAACGAAAAUUAAAAUCAAAUUGAUUUGUGGCCUCCGAGAUGUAUAUUAAGAAAUACAUCCAUUCUAAUAGCUCUUGAUUUAUGUAGUUUCUGGAAUAGAAACUGGUAAAAAUGAUGCUAUGCCUACAGCUAAGAAACUUUAACUUUUAUAUGGUCACUUUAAAUUUAAAUUGGAAAGUUCAAUCUCAUAUUUUUAAUAAAUGGUGUUACAAGUGAAGACAAAGCAAAUUUGGUGAAUACAUAUUUAACUCAAAUUUAUGAUACAGGUGUAAUAGUAAAAUCAAUAACAUUUUGAUUGAGCUGCACAAUAUUUAGGAGCUAAAUCUAUUAGUAAUUCGUUAUUUCAGAUUUAAAACCAUAUUUAAGUGAUUAUUUUACAAAAUAAAUAGUUCAUAUUUUGUUUGAUGCAA